rnacentral:rRNA from 1 species
AGCAGCCGCGGUAAUUCCAGCUCCAAUAGCGUAUAUUAAAGUUGUUGCAGUUAAAAAGCUCGUAGUUGAAUUUCGGGAUCAGUGGGUCGGUCGUGCCACUGGUAUGCACUGGCCCUACUGGUUCCUCCUUCUUGAAGAACUGUAAUGCCAUUAAUUUGGUGUUGCAGGGAAACAGGACUGUUACUUUGAAAAAAUUAGAGUGUUUAAAGCAGGCAAUCGCUUGAAUACAUUAGCAUGGAAUAAUGAAAUAGGACGAUCGAUCCUAUUUUGUUGGUUUCUAGGAUUGACGUAAUGAUUAAUAGGGAUAGUUGGGGGCAUUAGUAUUCAAUUGUCAGAGGUGAAAUUCUUGGAUUUAUUGAAGACUAACUACUGCGAAAGCAUUUGCCAAGGAUGUUUUCAUUAAUCAAGAACGAAAGUUAGGGGAUCGAAGACGAUCAGAUACCGUCGUAGUCUUAACCAUAAACUAUGCCGACUAGGGAUCGGAUGAUGUUAAUUUU